CACCAUGGAUCGUACACUGCCGGUGAUUUUUGUCACUCUGGUGCUUCAAGCAUUAUGGGGCUCUGCCUCUUCCUCCCUGCUGGGCCCGCGCACAGCGGCCACCAAAAACGUCGACCAAUCCGAGGUGGAAGGGAAUGAAUAUUGUUACUCUUGUGUCAAAAUCAACAACAUCUGCUACAACCACACCUACUUGUUCGAGCUCCCUGCCCCCUUCGGUAAACACCACCCCGUCGUUGAAAGAAUGGGCAUCAUGGAAGCCACUAACGUUCUGUACUAUACCUUCGAACCUAAGCUCAGUGAUAAAGAAUACUCCAAAGUUGCCUUCGUAUCGUUAAACUCUACGAACUUCUCUGGCGUUAUUUCUGGCGGGAAGUCUUCUAACUUUGGUCCCUUUGAUAUAGAUCA